UACGGGGGGGGCAAGCGUUGUUCGGAAUUACUGGGCGUAAAGGGCUCGUAGGCGGCCAACUAAGUCAUACGUGAAAUCCCUCGGCUUAACCGGGGAACUGCGUCUGAUACUGGAUGGCUUGAGUUCGGGAGAGGGAUGCGGAAUUCCAGGUGUAGCGGUGAAAUGCGUAGAUAUCUGGAGGAACACCGGUGGCGAAGGCGGCGUUCUGGACUGCAACUGACGCUGAGGCGCGAAAGCUAGGGGAGCAAACAGG
rnacentral:rRNA from 1 species